AGGGAAGUUAUGAAUAAUUUUAUGAUAGAUAAAGGAUAUAUUUUUUAUUUAGAUGGAAUAUUAGUUCCUA
rnacentral:snoRNA from 1 species